CUACGGGCGGCUGCAGUGGGGAAUAUUGCGCAAUGGGCGAAAGCCUGACGCAGCAACGCCGUGUGAGGGAUGAAGGCUUUCGGGUUGUAAACCUCUGUCGGAAGGGAAGAACGGGCAUUGGUCUAAUAGGCCUUUGUUUUGACGGUACCUUUAGAGGAAGCACCGGCUAACUCCGUGCCAGCAGCCGCGGUAAUACGGAGGGUGCAAGCGUUAUUCGGAAUUACUGGGCGUAAAGCGCACGUAGGCCGUUUUGUAAGUCAGGGGUGAAAUCCCACGGCUCAACCGGGGAACUGCCUUUGAAACUGCAGGACUUGAAUCCUGGAGAGGGUGGCGGAAUUCCUGGUGUAGGAGUGAAAUCCGUAGAUAUCAGGAGGAACACCGGUGGCGAAGGCGGCCACCUGGACAGGUAUUGACGCUGAGGUGCGAAAGUGUGGGGAGCAAACAGGAUUAGAUACCCCUGUAGUC
rnacentral:rRNA from 1 species